rnacentral:pre_miRNA from 1 species
UUUCAUGGAUGAGCAAAGAAGGUGGUUUCUUGAGAGAGAAUCUGCUCCUGGUGAAGAUGCUGUGUA